AUGGGCUGGGGGUCUCAGUGGGCCCACUGCCCGGACGCGAAUCCACCCUUUCGCCUGGCGUUAGGCCGAUCCUAGGAAGGCGUUUUGGACGCUGCACAAAGCACAGCUCAUAGCUUUUCAAAUGAGUUGCUGGCUGUGAUUUCAGGGCUGUGUGCUCCUCUGUCUGGGUGCACGGUGAACUCAUGUCACUCUCCUCUCCACCCCACAGUUGCUGCCUUUGGAGGAGGAGUCACAAGACAGGGUGACAAGGACACGAUGUGUACCAUCAGCUCCUUCUUCCCAGAGGUCCCUGAGCUUGGACAGGCUGCAGCAAGGGGCACUGCACAAAGCCAGCCACGAGGACAUCAGGGACGCCACAAAAUCCUCGGGCUCUCAGGAUGGCCCCUCGAGCAACGACAGCAACACUAAAAAUUGCCAGGACUCACUGAACAACGCCCCCAAGAAGAAGGGCAUCACCAAAUCCAUCCGCUGGUUGCUCGCCAGAAGACAAAAGGUCCACCCCAGCCACACUAGCGACGAGCCUGCAUGACCAGGGUGUGGAUGUGAUGGAGAGAGCUUUCGGCAGCCACCGUGGCCAUGGGUGUUUACUGUCGGCAGAGGUGCUGGUUUGGAGGAAGGACCCAGUGAUUCGCUGGGUCCUAUCGAUUGGCCUUAAAGAGGAUGCCAACAAUCACGUAGACAGUG